GGCAGUGUGGCCUAAUGGACAGAGCACCAGACUGGGACUCAGGAAACCUGGGUUCUAUUCCCUGCCCUGCUU
rnacentral:tRNA from 1 species